rnacentral:misc_RNA from 1 species
CCAAGGACUCGGAAUAUCGACAUCACAGUCAGGAACACAGCUCCUUAAACUGUACCUGCACUUGUGCAUCGCGUUCCAUGUUGCACCAAGCAUAAACUGUAACAACACACUGGAAUAAAAACAGGUGCAUUGCAUGUCAAGGUAACCCAUGUUCGCCUCACUGGCUAUGAGCCCCGACCAGGGAUUUUAAAUGAAGAUUCGCUGAGAGAUCGCAGUCACUCUUCCUGGAGAAGGAGGGAGGGGUAACUCCACAGCUUCACUCAAACAUGUAUACAAUCAUAUACGGAGGAAUUCUGGUGGUGAUUUUACUCCUGGGUUAUACACGUCUGUUUCGCCAGUCCGGAUGGAGGGGUAAAUCACCCCCGGGGCCGUUCCGCUGGCCACUAUUGGGAUCCUACCCCCAGAUGGCGAUGUUUGGGGCAAAGAGAGUGCAGGAUUAUUUUCAACUGAUACGUAGAAAAUAUGGCUCGGUGGCUAGGAUAUAUUUUGGAAGGUAUCCCGUGAUUCUAGUGUCUGGGUAUGAUGCGAUCCACGAGGCGUUCAUCACCCAGCAGGACAACACUGCUGCCAGGCCAGACUUCCUCCCGGGGGUAAAUGCUGUAAAACAACACGGGAAAGGGCUGUUCUUUGGAAACGGGCCAAACUGGACAAAGGCUCGUACAACACUCAAGAAAGGAAUCGCUGAUGUUUUGAUGACUUCGGCAUAUCAAGACAUAGUGUUGGAGGAGACCAAAUUCCUUAUCGAGGAAUUUGUGGAGAAAAAAGAAAGCCCUUUCCAGCCACGAGACAGCCUGUACAUCACAGUGACAACAUGCCGAUACGCAGCUCUGACAGGCCAAAGAUGUAACCAUGACAGCGUUGUCCUUCGGGAAAUACUACGGUGUAUGGCUGAUUUCGAACAGAAAGGAGGGAUUCUCUCACCCCUGGGGACAGUGCCGUGGCUGCGGUACCUACCGAUAACUAGACGGUCUUACAAAACAUUAACUGGAGCCUACACUGGACUACAGACCCUGAUGCUGUCUGAAAUCAGGAGCAGGAAAGAAAACUUCAAGGAGGACCAAACAGGAUCGGUGAUAGACGUCUUCAUUAAGGACCAGAGGCAGAACCCGGAUGUACCUUCAUAUUCAGAUGGUGACGUUGCUGUGUGUCUGGAGGAGUGCAUCAUAGGGGGCGCUCCUUCUGUAGCCCUGACGGUCGACUGGGCGCUACUCUACAUGCUGGAGCACCCGGAUGUGCAGGCAAGAUGCCAACAGGAGAUAGAUAAGGUCUGCGGCAAGUCACGACAAGUCAAGUUUUCUGACAUAGACAAAUUGCCCUAUGUUAGUGCUACGGUGUUUGAGGUUCAGCGACUCGCUAAUGUGGUAUGUUGUCUCUUGACUCUCCAGUUCCUGUCUCUCUUCCCCACUGCGCCGUGGACGACAUGGACAUCUUUGGGUUCCACAUUCCAAAAGGAACCAUCCUAUUUUCCAAUCUGAUUUCCGCAAACACGGACGAUGCUUAUUGGGAGAAUGCACAGCUGUUCGACCCGACGCGCUUUCUUGAUGACCAGCAUUCAGCAAUUAAGAUGCCCCAAGCUUUCAUGCCUUUUAGCAUAGGAGCACGAAAAUGCCCCGGUUACAAGAUGGCUGUAAAGGAGGCAACUGUCAUCUUCGCCAACCUGCUCCAAACCCUGACUUUCUCCAGUAUCGGCAAGGUGAACUACGGGGGGACAAGUGUUGUGAACAUACGCCCGACUGAGAAUUACAUCGUUGCAUCUCAGAGGAAACAUGCAAGAGAAUAGUUAGCCUGGACUAUUGGAAGUCCAU